ensembl:snRNA U6 U6 spliceosomal RNA
UUGGUUUGGCAACACAUAUACUAAAAUUGCAACAAUACAGAAAAGAUUAUCAUGGCACCCGUGCAAGGACUGAUACAACAAAUUCAUGAGAUAUUCCAUAUUUUU